rnacentral:rRNA from 1 species
UAGAUACCCUGGUAGUCCGCACAGUAAACGAUGGAUGCUCGCUGUUGGCUUUUAUAGUCAGUGGCUUAGCGAAAGCGUUAAGCAUCCCACCUGGGGAGUACGCCGGCAACGGUGAAACUCAAAGGAAUUGACGGGGGCCCGCACAAGCGGAGGAACAUGUGGUUUAAUUCGAUGAUACGCGAGGAACCUUACCCGGGCUUGAACUGCAGGAGAACGAUUCAGAGAUGAUGAGGUCCUUCGGGACUCCUGU